UUCUAAAAGAUCAAAGCUGGAUUUCCUCAUGGAACAGAACACUCCCAGUUCUCUGAGGUCAGUGGGCAGAGGCUGUAGUUAUAGCUGGUUGGCUUCAUCUGAUGCAUUUUUCUUUUCCUUAAACUCAGGAUUUGUCCUGCUCCGUAAUUGUAAUCUCUUUGCCUGGCCUUUGCUUUCGUCUGUGAAGCUGCCACUAGCUCCGGACCAGCCAGAGCCACCUACUCGGAUCAUGUUGGCAGAACCCAGUACUGUUUCGAGGCCAGAUGCACCAUUUCAGCAAUUCAGGAGGAAAUAAGCAGUGUGGAUAAACUGAUACCCAUUUUUGAAAGUCGGCCUGGGUUCGCAUUCAGAAGAAAUGUCGACGCUAGCCAUUUUUUUUUUAAAAUGGGUGAUUUGAUAACUCAGGGAAGUCUUGCCACUGUAAUUUUUAAAAGUUUGCUUGCUAGAACCAGGUACUUUCUAAGAAGUGUAUGGAAAAAGCCUUGA
rnacentral:lncRNA from 1 species